UCGUUGGUGAUAUAAAGGCCUUUGAUUCGUGUGAUAGGGUUUUUGAUCAACGGUGCGGAAAUUGAAAGCCGUUUUUAUAUGAACGGCAGCGGCCAGACAACCGUAGGGAUGGAUCCACAGAUGAGCGGCUCUGAUUGCCCCGCUUGUCUACUGAUUCCAUCUCAUAUCG